ACUGACAUCCGAAUGUGUCGUAGUCUGGUUAGUCACGUGACCUUGUACAACUCACAAACUACGUUCCCUUGAUGUUCUCCUUUGUGAGUCGUCUUGGGCAACAUUCAUUCACACACAUUGAUUGACAACACCUAUUGAUUUAAUAUUCAAUGGUAAA
rnacentral:misc_RNA from 1 species